CCACAUAUAGAAAGUAACUAGAUAUUGGAAUUUAAGGAUAAUGUCUUUGUGUACUACAUAAUAGGGAUUUCGGGAUGGAUAGGAGUUGGAUGCAACUUCAUAAUAGAAGGUUACAUCAAUACAUUGAUGGGGGAUGUCCAAAGGGUGUCACACCUAAGUACAACUUGAAGCCUCUUGUGCCAAUGCUGUUUGAUAUAAAACAUGACAUUGAUGUUGAGAAAAUGCUUUUUUAGAUAUUCUCUUUGAAGAAACUGUUGUUAUUUUUCAUUUGAAUGGUUAUUACUUUGAUUUGAAUUUGGAAACUUUCAGUUUUAAUUUUUGUAAAAUUUUACUUUUUAUAUACUCAUUGUGGUUUGGGAAUAAAAUGUUUUUGAUGUGUGGAUGUCAA